rnacentral:lncRNA from 1 species
AGAAGGUGCACACUUGAUCCGGUGCUAUUCCUUCCUAUAUUUAUUUAUUUUCGUUGUUCCUUUUCUUUUUUGCUUUUGCGGAUGGCUCAAUAUACUGUAUACGUACAUCACUUUGUAUAAUUUACCACCCGUGUCCUUCAUAUUUUCGCUAAUCUCUUUCUUCUCGUAAUACCACACGAUGCUCGGUCUAUUCCAGUUUGUUUGCGCCAUUCUUGGGUGAAAUCUUUACCAUCAACGACCCUACUUGCUUUCUAGCCUUUCAUUCUAGCUUUGACUUUAUGUUUUACGGUGUAUCUACUCUCGUUGCUCGUAGCAGCUGUCUUUGACGCACAACAGCUACGACGACGCCGAAGAAGAAGAACGGAACGCAUAGCGCUGUUUUUACAGGGGAAGCAAGUCAAACCAAAUCAGUGAAGCGGCUGAAAGCACUUGGCCUCAUGGCUGGGCCAGCGGGCAAUUACAUGGUUGAAACACCAGCACCAGAGGCACAGCACUCACGGAAGCCGCCUCCAAUUCAUGCCAGGCCUUGUUCGAGUACAUGGUUGUCGUUCUCGUUCUCGCAGUACUCCUAGCCUCGUUUAUGUUGAUGUCCGGC